CACUCAUGACUCACCAGCCGAAUCCUAGGAAGUCUGGAGAAAGAGAAGUCUGCAUAAUCUCCAUGUUUGGAAAGCAUUGCUUUUACAUCUAUGCUGCUGCUGCUAAGUCGCUUCAGUCGUGUCCGACUCUGUGCGACCCCAUAGACGGCAGCCCACCAGGCUCCGCUGCCCCUGGGAUUCUCCAGGCAAGAACACUGGAGUGGGUUGCCAUUUCUUUCUCCUUUACAUCUAUAAAUUUGACUAUAUAUAUAUCAAUUUACCUCCAAAAUUAUGAUGUGCAGUACUUUUAUGAUCUUUUAACUAUAUUUCAUAAUUUUAGCCUUUGA
ensembl:lncRNA